AAAAUCCCUAAAAACGAAGGGGAAGUAAAGACCCUCCGCCGGCCCCUCGUCCAUCGCAUCUCAACGUCCGCCAUGGAAGGUUGUAAAGCUUCGCCGCUCUCAAAAUUUAUAAAUUUCUGGCCAACAUGACGAACAUAGGGAUCCAGAAAGCAGAAUGUGGUUAGAUCUGACUGAACAUUAUAAAGAUAAAGAUGAAGUUGAAGGAAGCUAAUACUGGUGGCUUGAAAGCAACACAAGGCUGAAGUACUGAUUUACGGAGAAAUGCUUUGUAGUGAUGUAGCUGGGCAGAAAUGAAGUUCUCUCAUUGUAGUGGUCUAAUAGAUAUUAAGGCUGGCAUUCGGCAUUCAAAUGACUUGGAUACGCUUGCAAAAGAGGUAUUAAGACUGGAUUUCAACGGUCAGCCAACUUGGAUGAACUUGCAAAAAGAUAUUAAGGCUGGCAUUCGGCAUUCAAAUGACUUGGAUACGCUUGCAAAAGAGGUAAUGAGUUUGGCUUUCGACAGUCGAGUGACUUGGAUGCACAUACAAUAGAGUUAUGAUAGAAGAUGGUCAUUCCAGAUAAAAGGCUCUCGUACAAAGGAGCUGGAAGGACUGCAAGAAUGGAAUACUGGGAGGUGAAGGUGAAUAUUCCUGCCAGCCAACAUCUGUGAAGAAAGUGCAAUAAAAAAUAUUAAACUUG